rnacentral:rRNA from 1 species
AGAGUUUGAUCCUGGCUCAGGAUGAACGCUGGCGGCGUGCCUAACACAUGCAAGUUGAGCGAUUUACUUCGUAAAGAGCGGCGGACGGGUGAGUAACGCGUGGGUAACCUACCCUGUACACACGGAUAACAUACCGAAAGGUAUGCUAAUACGGGAUAAUAUAUUUGAGAGGCAUCUCUUAAUAUCAAAGGUGAGCCAGUACAGGAUGGACCCGCGUCUGAUUAGCUAGUUGGUAAGGUAACGGCUUACCAAGGCGACGAUCAGUAGCCGACCUGAGAGGGUGAUCGGCCACAUUGGAACUGAGACACGGUCCAAACUCCUACGGGAGGCAGCAGUGGGGAAUAUUGCACAAUGGGCGAAAGCCUGAUGCAGCAACGCCGCGUGAGUGAUGAAGGCCUUCGGGUCGUAAAACUCUGUCCUCAAGGAAGAUAAUGACGGUACUUGAGGAGGAAGCCCCGGCUAACUACGUGCCAGCAGCCGCGGUAAUACGUAGGGGGCUAGCGUUAUCCGGAUUUACUGGGCGUAAAGGGUGCGUAGGCGGUCUUUCAAGUCAGGAGUGAAAGGCUACGGCUCAACCGUAGUAAGCUCUUGAAACUGGGAGACUUGAGUGCAGGAGAGGAGAGUGGAAUUCCUAGUGUAGCGGUGAAAUGCGUAGAUAUUAGGAGGAACACCAGUUGCGAAGGCGGCUCUCUGGACUGUAACUGACGCUGAGGCACGAAAGCGUGGGGAGCAAACAGGAUUAGAUACCCUGGUAGUCCACGCUGUAA